CACCUCUCAGGGUCGCACCUGGAGAGUUUCCAGUCCUCUACCAGUCUCGACUGUGGGAGGGAGAGUCAAACAGAGGCCUAUCCAUUCCAUUCCUAGCUUGGCCAGUGGCUAGCAAGUGGAAGGUAAUCUGGUACAAGU
rfam:Ornithorhynchus anatinus chromosome X1, whole genome shotgun sequence.